AGGUCAAGGGCACGCCUAUUAAUUUCAGUUUUUCAAGAAGUUUAUUACGGGGAACUUUAUCAAACGCUUUGCUGAAGUUUAAAAAAAUUAUGUCCAGUUGUCCAGAUUUAUCUAAUACGGAACUAAAGUUAUGGAUAGCAGUAACCAACUGCGUGACAGUUGAAAAACCUUUCCUGAAGCCGUGUUGAAAUGGAGACAAGUAUCCUUUAGAGUUUAAUAUUUCAAGUAUGUGGUUAGCGAUAAUGUGUUCGAUUAGUUUGCAGCAGGUACUCGUCAAAGAAAUCGGAUGGUAAUUGCUUAAACAUGCGCGGUCCCCUUUUUUGUGCACAGGCACAACUCUGGCUGUUAGCCAGUUGGGGGGCAAUGAAAAAGACGAUAAGGAUAAACAGAAAAUGUUUGUUAAGAAAUGAGCUAAUGAUUCAGCAUAACGGCGUAAGAAGGCGUUUGGUAUGUAAUCUGGACCACGCGAACUUUUGGUAUCUAACCGGAGUAGGGAUUCAACAACACCUUCGUAGGAUACAGUGAUUGAUUCUUCAGGUGGAAGGUCAAACACAUGUUUAUUGGCACUUUCUUCAGAAAAUACAGAAUGAAAGUAGGCAUUGAAAUGCGUAGCAAUUGAUUGAGAACACGUAAUCAUGUUGUUAUGCAUAGUGAUUUGAUUUAUUUGCUUGUGGGAAGUUCGAAGGUGAUCCCAAAAUUUAUGGGGAUCAUUUCGCAUAAAUUGUGGAAGACUCUCUGUAAAGUAAUGUUUUUUUUGCUGAUUUAAUGCUAGAAGAAAGCUCUUCUGCUAAAAUAUCUAACUGACUAGCACUGGCGUUCUUAGCUUUUUUCAGCCGUUUAAGCCUUCGUUUUAGGUGAAUAAUGUGGCGAUUUACCAGGGAUUUGCUUUCUUUAAGUGCUUCUUCUUAUCGGGUAUGAAGCUAUUGAUACAAUAUUUACAGUGUUCCUUGAAUGUGUUCCAUAACUGUGUGACACUGGUUCCCUCAAAGCUUUCAUAAGCCAAUUCCAAGUAAUCAAGGGUGGAUUCAUCCAGUGCUUUUGAAUAAUCUUUUACGUUCUUAUGCUUUGCUUUUUCUAUACGUCCGUGGACUACAGGUAAAGGUACGAUUACUAACUUGUGAUCAGAUAUCCCGUCAUGAACAGACACUGUGUAAUCACAAAAAGAGCGUUUUAUGAAUAUUAAAUCUAAGAUUGACUAAGUUGGUUCGGUGACUAUUUGCUGAAGGUUGUGGGACAACAUUAUAUCAUAGAUAGCGUCAGCAUUUUCAGAACAUCCAAGGUUUUCGUUAGAUCAGUUUAUGGUUGGCAGAUUGAAAUCCCCUGCAAGUAUCAAUUUUUUAUUUCUGUAGUUGAACAAAAAAUCCUGCAGCCUAUGCAGAUAGUCCAGAUCUGAAUUAGGGGGCCUAAACAGUUCACAUAAUAUGAAAGUGUAGCCAAGAUACGCGAUUUUCAGAGCAAGGCUUUCAUGGUUUUCUGGUGAAUUUAGAACUGUAGCGGAAACAUUCGGUUUUAGUAAAAUGGCUGCGCCACCUCCUCGUGACCCCCUAUCAUGCCUAAAUACAGUGUAUGGUGGAGGAAAGAUGCAAUCAUUAGUGAUAUCACAGAGAAGCCAAGUCUCGGUUAUAACAACUAUAUCAGGGCUGUGAGUAAACAGAGCGAUCUCAAGGGCAGUUGCCUUGUUCACUAUGCUUUGGGCAUUAAUGUUUAAUAUAACAAGGUCACGAAGAGCUGGGUUAUCUAAGGUGGUCUGUCAAUCAGAGUUACUAGAAGAGAGGAGAAAGGCUAAUCCGUUGCUCAGUUGAAUCGUUCCAAGCGUACAUGCUGUUGCCGACUUUGAGCUUGUCAUGAACGAGAUAAGCCUUCUUUCCAUCCUUCCUUUUGGUUUUGCAAGAUUCCCAGAGCAAUUUUCGUUUUCUUAGUGUCUCCUUAGAAUAAUCAUUUUGUAUGGAAAAAGCCGAACCUUUAAGUUUACCAACAUUUGCAUACAGGGCCUUUUUUUCAUUAAAAUCUUGGAAGAAUGCGAUUACAGGUCGGUUUGAGUUGUUAUUUGCUUUUCCUAUUCUAUGUAUACGGGCAAUGGAUGACGUUGAGGCACCAAGGUGUUUUUCAAAGACCUCAGAAAUCACCUUAUUUUUAAGUUCCUCUUCAGUUUCAGAGGUAUCUUCCAUUAUGCCAUGUAUAAUCGAAUUCGAGCGACGACUGCGAUCCUCCAGAUGGGAUGACCUCAGCGUUCCAGCCUUGCAAACCUUGGAGUGCCCAUCACGAUGAAGACGCAGAAUAUUGGCAGGCACACAGCUGGUGGUUUCAAGGGCUAGGCCUGCACGAUCAGCCUUCCGAUGAGACUUGCUAUCCCAGCCUUGUGAGCUAUGAAGCAGUCAUCGUUGUGGUGGCGAGAUAAGUGUGCACUCUAUAUGCCGUUCACUUCAAGGGCUAGGCUUUCAACGUGGAUGUCAUUGAAAAAAUUUAUCAUCCCAGCCUUGCAAGCUUUGCAGUUGUCAUUGCAGUUGUCCUUCGCAUCGAUAGGCAGGUCAGCGGCUGCUCCAAGGGAUUGGCUGACAGGUUGUGUCAUUCACCUCUGGGGGCAUCCCAGCUUCGUGAACUUUAGGUCGUUGUGCCGUUGUGUAAAUCUUCACGAUUUACUUCCCCUUCCAUGGGUGCAUUAAACUUUUGUUGCAUGUA